rnacentral:rRNA from 1 species
AAGUCGAACGGCAGCACGGGGGCAACCCUNGGUGGCGAGUGGCGAACGGGUGAGUAACAUAUCGGAACGUGCCCUGGAGUGGGGGAUAACUAGUCGAAAGAUUAGCUAAUACCGCAUACGAUCUACGGAUGAAAGUGGGGGAUCGCAAGACCUCAUGCUCGUGGAGCGGCCGAUAUCUGAUUAGCUAGUUGGUGGGGUAAAGGCCUACCAAGGCAUCGAUCAGUAGCUGGUCUGAGAGGACGACCAGCCACACUGGGACUGAGACACGGCCCAGACUCCUACGGGAGGCAGCAGUGGGGAAUUUUGGACAAUGGGCGCAAGCCUGAUCCAGCAAUGCCGCGUGAGUGAAGAAGGCCUUCGGGUUGUAAAGCUCUUUUGUCAGGGAAGAAACGGUUCGGGUUAAUACCUUGGGCUAAUGACGGUACCUGAAGAAUAAGCACCGGCUAACUACGUGCCAGCAGCCGCGGUAAUACGUAGGGUGCAAGCGUUAAUCGGAAUUACUGGGCGUAAAGCGUGCGCAGGCGGUUGUGCAAGACAGAUGUGAAAUCCCCGGGCUCAACCUGGGAAUUGCAUUUGUGACUGUACGGCUAGAGUGUGUCAGAGGGGGGUAGAAUUCCACGUGUAGCAGUGAAAUGCGUAGAGAUGUGGAGGAAUACCGAUGGCGAAGGCAGCCCCCUGGGAUAACACUGACGCUCAUGCACGAAAGCGUGGGGGAGCAAACAGGAUUAGAUACCCCUGGUAGUCCACGCCCUAAACGAUGUCUACUAGUUGUCGGGUCUUUAUUGACUUGGUAACGC